rnacentral:rRNA from 1 species
UGUCGCCCGCAAGGGCGCAUGGUGGAUGCCUUGGCAGACAGUACCGACGAAGGACGUUUGAGGAUGCGAUAAGCCUCGGGGAGCCUCCAGCAUGGCUUCGAUCCGAGGAUUUCCGAAUGGGGCAACCCGCCGGCCGUCAUGGGCCGGCACCGCAGGCUUCUGCGGGGGGUACGCAGGGAAGUGAAACAUCUCAGUACCUGCAGGAAGGGAUACUCCGUGAGUAGUGGCGAGCGAAAGCGGAUCAGACCAAACCGCGUGCGCGUGAUACCCGUCGGGGGUUGCGUGCGCGGUGUUGAGGGAGCGCGUGUCCCGGUUCCGACGGACCGGGCGGGAGUCAUAAAACGGCUUGCCAGGGGAACAGGCUUGAAGGCCUGGCCGCAGAGGGUGCCAGCCCCGUACCUGGACGCUUGCCGUCUUCCGAUCGCGUGUCCCAAGUAGCGCGGGCCUCGUGGAAUCCCGCGUGAAUCCGCACCGACCGUGGUGUAAGUCUAAGCAUACCUGUCUGACCGAUAGCGUACCAGUACCGUGAGGGAAAGGUGAAAAGCACCCCGGGAGGGGAGUGAAAGAGUUCCUGAAACCGUGCGCCUACGAUCCGUCGGAGCCUCCUUGUGGGGUGACGGCGUGCCUAUCGAAAAAUGAGUCUGCGAGUCAGUGAUGCGUGGCGAGGCUAACCCGUCGUGGGGCAGCCGUAGCGAAGGCGAGUCCGAACAGGGCGUUUCUAUAGUCGCGUGUCCUGGACCCGAAGCGGGAUGAUCUAGCCCUGGGCAGGUUGAAGCGCGGGUAAGACCGCGUGGAGGACCGAACCCACCUGGGUUGAAAACCGGGGGGAUGACCUGGGGCUAGGGGUGAAAGGCCAAUCAAAUUCCGUGAUAGCUGGUUCUCUCCGAAAUGCAUUUAGGUGCAGCGUCGGCUUAUUGCAUCGCGGGGGUAGAGCUACCGGAUGCUUGCGGGCCCUUGUGGGGUACCAACAGCAGCCGAACUCCGAAUACCGUUGAUGUGUAUGCCGGCAGUGAGUCGGCGGGGGAUAAGCUCCGUCGUCGAGAGGGAGACAGCCCAGACCGUCGUCCAAGGUCCCCAAGCGUGUGCUAAGUGGGAAAGGAUGUGGGGCCGCAUAGACAGCCAGGAGGUUGGCUCAGAAGCAGCCAUCCUUGAAAGAGUGCGUAACAGCUCACUGGUCUAGUGGUCCCGCGCCGACAAUGUAGCGGGGCUCAAGCACACCACCGAAGACGCGGCGGCGCGUGUAUGCGCGCCGGGUAGGAGAGCGUCCUGCAAGGGGCGAAGCGGCCGGGUGACCGUGCCGUGGACUUUGCGGGAGUGAGAAUGCAGACAUGAGUAGCGAGAGACGGGUGAGGAUCCCGUCCGCCGGAUGACCAAGGGUUCCGGGGCCACGUUCGUCGUCCCCGGGUGAGUCGGGUCCUAAGGCGAGGCCGACAGGCGUAGUCGAAUGGAUGAACGGGUGGAUAUUCCCGUACCGGCAGCGAACCGACAGGACCGAGGCGGUGAGUACUAACCUCCGUCGCGGGCCGUUCCCCUCCUUCGGGUGGGGUCCGGCGCGUGGCGUUGGGAGCGUAGCCGUGGUAGGUGAGCGCAGGGGUGACACGGAAUGGGAGCCGGCCGCGGAGGUGGUUUUCCGUGGUCAAGCACGCAGCCAGUCGCACAGGCAAAUCCGUGCGGCGCGUAUGGCGAGGUGCGAUGAUGGGAGCCGUUUCGGCUCGAUAUCCGGUGGUCCAGGCCGUCGAGAAAAGCCCCGGCGUCAGGCGCGUUGCCGCCCGUACCCCAAACCGACACUGGUGGUCAGGUAGAGAAUACCAAGGCGAUCGAGCGAAUCCUGGUCAAGGAACUCGGCAAACCGCUCCCGUGCCUUCGGCAUAAGGGAGACCCCCGCGGGUGAACGGACAUGCUCCGGGAGCGUGUGGGGGUGGCACAGACCAGGGGGUAGCGACUGUUUACCAAAAACACAGGUGCAUGCGAAGGCGUAAGCCGCUGUAUAUGCACUGACGCCUGCCCGGUGCCGGAAGGUUAAGAGGAUCCGUCAGCCCCUUGGGGGUGAAGCGGUGAAUUCAAGCCCCGGUAAACGGCGGUGGUAACUAUAACCAUCCUAAGGUAGCGAAAUUCCUUGUCGGGUAAG